CUCGUAGGCCGCUCUGUAAGUCGGAAGUGAAAGACCACGGCUCAACCGUGGAACCGCUUUCGAAACUGCGGAGCUUGAGGCCGGGAGAGGAGAUUGGAAUUCCUGGUGUAGCGGUGAAAUGCGUAGAUAUCAGGAGGAACACCCGUGGCGAAGGCGAAUCUCUGGACCGGUUCUGACGCUGAUGAGCGAAAGUGGAGGGCGAACAA
rnacentral:rRNA from 1 species